GCUCUGUGGGGCAGCCAGGAAGGUGCCCCUUCGUGGGAGCCAGGGCUGUCUUCGCACAUGACUUGAGAGAGGCUGUUCCUAGAAGAAAGGAGCUCUCAGGGGCUGGUUCUUGGGACUUGAGAGUCCAAAGAGAGGUGUGUAGUCGGGGAUUCCCAUGGCAACAGGCUCAUGGGAGCUGCCAAGGCAAAAAGGGAAGGUGAAUGCAAGGUGAAGUACAGAAAAUGCCUGGGAGAGGUGGCAGGAGGAGGCAGCAGCUGUGAUGCCUGCAUCUCCUCGGGAGCUGGUCCUGGGGGUGGUGAGUCUCUCGAAAUCUCUUGGUGGAAAACUUCAGUUUUACCUGGGGAAAGAAACUGCCCUUUAGCUGCAACUUUACAUUUAAAAGAGAAAAGUGUUUUAUGCUUGAAUUUUCUGGCACCAGUUCCUGUGGCUUUAAAGAAAAGUGCCACUGUGAGAGAAGUCUGGAAAACCUUAGAAGUGGACCGGUGCAGGAAAUAUCGAGAUGGGCUGAGCCAUGACCAGGAGCCAUCUAGGUGCAGGAUGCCUAGAGACGAAUGA
rnacentral:lncRNA from 1 species